rnacentral:rRNA from 1 species
AUACGUAGGGGGCGAGCGUUGUCCGGAAUGAUUGGGCGUAAAGGGCGCGUAGGCGGCCCGGUAAGUCUGGAGUGAAAGUCCUGUUUUUAAGAUGGGAAUUGCUUUGGAUACUGUAGGGCUUGAGUGCAGGAGAGGUAAGUGGAAUUCCCAGUGUAGCGGUGAAAUGCGUAGAGAUUGGGAGGAACACCAGUGGCGAAGGCGACUUACUGGACUGUAACUGACGCUGAGGCGCGAAAGUGUGGGGAGCAAACAGGAUUAGAUACCCUGGUAGUCCACACUGUAAACGAUGAAUGCUAGGUGUAGGGGGUAUCGACCCCUUCUGUGCCGCAGUCAACACAAUAAGCAUUCCGCCUGGGGAGUACGGCCGCAAGGUUGAAACUCAAAUGAAUUGACGGGG